UGAGGAACAUGACCUUCGGCGGGGGAUAGCCGGCCCAACGGCCGGGUAAUACCGCGUACGACCACAUGGGGACAUCCCUGAGUGGUGAAAGCAGCAAUGCGCCGAUGGAAUGCCUCGCGGCCUAUCAGCUAGUUGGUGAGGUAACGGCUCACCAAGGCGACGACGGGUAGCUGGU
rnacentral:rRNA from 1 species